UACGGAGGGGGCUAGCGUUGUUCGGAAUUACUGGGCGUAAAGCGCGCGUAGGCGGCUUUGUAAGUUAGAGGUGAAAGCCCAGGGCUCAACCCUGAAAUUGCCUUUAAGACUGCAUCGCUUGAACAUCGGAGAGGUAAGUGGAACUGCGAGUGUAGAGGUGAAAUUCGUAGAUAUUCGCAAGAACACCAGUGGCGAAGGCGGCUUACUGGUCCGGAUCUGACGCUGAGGCGCGAAAGCGUGGGGAGCAAACAGG
rnacentral:rRNA from 1 species